UGUAAGCGUAUACCAAAGUUGUUGCAGUUAAAACGCUCGUAGUCGGAAUUUGGCAGUUCCGGAUGUGUGCACGUCGUGUGCGCACUUCGCGGGGAUUGCUUUUGUGGUCUUGCGUAGGAUGAGGCACUUUUAUUAGUGAACGUCCUCACGCAACCACUUUUUACUGUGAGAAAAUCAGAGUGCUCAAAGCAGGCAUUUGCCGUGAAUGUAUUAGCAUGGAAUAAUAGAAUAGGACUUGGUUCUAUUUUGUUGGUUUGUUGGGACUGAGUAAUGAUUAAGAGGGACAGUUGGGGGCAUUUGUAUUUCGGUGCUAGAGGUGAAAUUCUUAGAUUACCGAAAGACAGACUGCUGCGAAAGCGUCUGCCAAGGAUGUUUUCAUUGA
rnacentral:rRNA from 1 species